rnacentral:lncRNA from 12 species
CCCACAUUCCCCACCCCCUUCCCCGCCCCUCCUCCCCCUGCCCGGAGUGCCCUGCCGAGGCCUAACUCGCCUGCCAGCGGCGCGGGUAUGGGGAUUUCCUAGGUCCGUGCUUCUGUUGCCAACCCUGCGGCUCGCUCCCAUGGGUGAGGACACCCCAAGACGCUGAGACUGGGCUUGGGGGCUGUGAGUCGUCCGGGAUUCCAGCCAAGGACCUUCGCCAGGCUCAGAAGGUCCAGCAGUCGCCGCUGCCACCCUGAAGCCUAAGGAAAUCUGGCCUCCUUUUUCCCAGAGCCUACAGAUCUUCCCUUCCUUCGGAAGGAGUCACAAGCCCCUAAAGCUGGAGAAGGCAGCAGCUACUUAGCAGUGGGAGCCAGGCCUGAAGCUUCAGACGCAGAAACGCUGGACAAGGUGGAGUGAGGUGCUGUCCUUCCGUGGCCGCAGGGCCUUGGCCAUCGAAGGCUCCUACAACUGCUUUACCGGGCUGGUGACACCAGUCAGUCUAGACCCAGUGGGAGAAGCUCCUCGGGUAGGGAAGCCGCAGGGGCGGUCGUGUGUGGGA